AGGAAUUUCAACUGGACCCACAGUACUUCGGCGGAAUCGGAGGCAAAAUCCUCUUGAGCCGAAAGGUGGUGGCCAAAGGAAGUGAUAUGGGGUCCCCGGUGGACGGCGAAGACCCCAUUCGCGACUGCGCUGUUACAUGCGUCCGCUACAGGAACUCGAAGUAAGAGGUGCCUGAAAGACAGCGACGUGCCUCGAAAUUCGACGUAGCUGCAUAGACAACUCUUCACAGUCGCUACACCGCGGUAAAAAGAGC